GUGGGGAAUAUUGGACAAUGGGCGCAAGCCUGAUCCAGCCAUGCCGCGUGAGUGAUGAAGGCCUUAGGGUUGUAAAGCUCUUUUGUCCGGGAAGAUAAUGACUGUACCGGAAGAAUAAGCCCCGGCUAACUUCGUGCCAGCAGCCGCGGUAAUACGAAGGGGGCUAGCGUUGUUCGGAAUCACUGGGCGUAAAGCGCACGUAGGCGGACCAUUAAGUUAGGGGUGAAAGCCUGGAGCUCAACUCCAAGACUGCCUUUGAUACUGAUGGUCUCGAGUAUGGAAGAGGUUGGUGGAACUGCGAGUGUAGAGGUGAAAUUCGUAGAUAUUCGCAAGAACACCGGUGGCGAAGGCGGCCAACUGGUCCAUUACUGACGCUGAGGUGCGAAAGCGUGGGGAGCAAACAGGAUUAGAUACCCGAGUAGUCC
rnacentral:rRNA from 1 species